rfam:TPA: Bos taurus chromosome 15, whole genome shotgun sequence.
UCCUUGGUGGUCCAGUGGUUAGGACUCUGCUCUUCCACUGCAGGGGGGCACUGGUUUGAGCCCUGAUUGGGGAA